UACGUAGGGGGCAAGCGUUGUCCGGAAUCAUUGGGCGUAAAGCGCACGUAGGCGGCCCUGUAAGUCCGUUGUGAAAGUCAAAGGCUCAACCUUUGAAUGCCGAUGGAUACUGCAGGGCUAGAGUCCGGAAGAGGCGAGUGGAAUUCCUGGUGUAGCGGUGGAAUGCGCAGAUAUCAGGAGGAACACCAUAACGAAGGCAGCUCGCUGGGACG
rnacentral:rRNA from 1 species